rnacentral:lncRNA from 1 species
CGGGAUGAUCAUCGGGUUAGCCUGGCAUCCGAGGGCCGAGCCUCGAAAAAUUCCGCUCGUUGGUCGGCCAAGGCUGGCGCAAGCCGAGGCGACCUGUCGGGGCUUCAGGCUAGUCUGCUCCCGGGAUGAUCAUCGGGUUAGCCUGGCAUCCGAGGGCCGAGCCUCAGAAAAUUCCGCUCGUUGGUCACGCGCCUGUCGCUUGCCGCUCGACGAGAUUUCUCCGUGGCCAG